rnacentral:sRNA from 1 species
CCCCGGUAGUUACAAGCAGCUGGAAGGCCCGGGA